rnacentral:sRNA from 1 species
CACAUGGGUUAGUCGAUCCUAA